rnacentral:rRNA from 1 species
UACGGAGGGUGCAAGCGUUAUCCGGAUUCACUGGGUUUAAAGGGUCCGUAGGCGGCCCUGUAAGUCAGUGGUGAAAUCUCACGGCUCAACCGUGAAAUUGCCAUUGAUACUGCAGGGCUUGAAUUACUAGGAAGUAACUAGAAUAUGUAGUGUAGCGGUGAAAUGCUUAGAGAUUACAUGGAAUACCGAUUGGCGAAGGCAGGUU